rnacentral:rRNA from 1 species
AAAUUGAAGAGUUUGAUCAUGGCUCAGAUUGAACGCUGGCGGCAGGCCUAACACAUGCAAGUCGAACGGUAACAGGAAACAGCUUGCUGUUUCGCUGACGAGUGGCGGACGGGUGAGUAAUGUCUGGGAAACUGCCUGAUGGAGGGGGAUAACUACUGGAAACGGUAGCUAAUACCGCAUAAUGUCGCAAGACCAAAGAGGGGGACCUUCGGGCCUCUUGCCAUCGGAUGUGCCCAGAUGGGAUUAGCUAGUAGGUGGGGUAACGGCUCACCUAGGCGACGAUCCCUAGCUGGUCUGAGAGGAUGACCAGCCACACUGGAACUGAGACACGGUCCAGACUCCUACGGGAGGCAGCAGUGGGGAAUAUUGCACAAUGGGCGCAAGCCUGAUGCAGCCAUGCCGCGUGUAUGAAGAAGGCCUUCGGGUUGUAAAGUACUUUCAGCGGGGAGGAAGGGAGUAAAGUUAAUACCUUUGCUCAUUGACGUUACCCGCAGAAGAAGCACCGGCUAACUCCGUGCCAGCAGCCGCGGUAAUACGGAGGGUGCAAGCGUUAAUCGGAAUUACUGGGCGUAAAGCGCACGCAGGCGGUUUGUUAAGUCAGAUGUGAAAUCCCCGGGCUCAACCUGGGAACUGCAUCUGAUACUGGCAAGCUUGAGUCUCGUAGAGGGGGGUAGAAUUCCAGGUGUAGCGGUGAAAUGCGUAGAGAUCUGGAGGAAUACCGGUGGCGAAGGCGGCCCCCUGGACGAAGACUGACGCUCAGGUGCGAAAGCGUGGGGAGCAAACAGGAUUAGAUACCCUGGUAGUCCACGCCGUAAACGAUGUCGACUUGGAGGUUGUGCCCUUGAGGCGUGGCUUCCGGAGCUAACGCGUUAAGUCGACCGCCUGGGGAGUACGGCCGCAAGGUUAAAACUCAAAUGAAUUGACGGGGGCCCGCACAAGCGGUGGAGCAUGUGGUUUAAUUCGAUGCAACGCGAAGAACCUUACCUGGUCUUGACAUCCACAGAACUUUCCAGAGAUGGAUUGGUGCCUUCGGGAACUGUGAGACAGGUGCUGCAUGGCUGUCGUCAGCUCGUGUUGUGAAAUGUUGGGUUAAGUCCCGCAACGAGCGCAACCCUUAUCCUUUGUUGCCAGCGGUCCGGCCGGGAACUCAAAGGAGACUGCCAGUGAUAAACUGGAGGAAGGUGGGGAUGACGUCAAGUCAUCAUGGCCCUUACGACCAGGGCUACACACGUGCUACAAUGGCGCAUACAAAGAGAAGCGACCUCGCGAGAGCAAGCGGACCUCAUAAAGUGCGUCGUAGUCCGGAUUGGAGUCUGCAACUCGACUCCAUGAAGUCGGAAUCGCUAGUAAUCGUGGAUCAGAAUGCCACGGUGAAUACGUUCCCGGGCCUUGUACACACCGCCCGUCACACCAUGGGAGUGGGUUGCAAAAGAAGUAGGUAGCUUAACCUUCGGGAGGGCGCUUACCACUUUGUGAUUCAUGACUGGGGUGAAGUCGUAACAAGGUAACCGUAGGGGAACCUGCGGUUGGAUCACCUCCUU